CCUACAGGUGGCUGCAGUGGGGAAUAUUGGGCAAUGGAGGAAACUCUGACCCAGCAACGCCGCGUGAAUGAUGAAGGUCUUCGGAUUGUAAAGUUCUUUUCUAAGGGAAGAAGAAAGUGACGGUACCUUAGGAAUAAGCCUCGGCUAACUACUUUCCAGCAGCCGCGGUAAUACGUAGGAGGCGUGAGUUAUCCGGAAGGACUGGGCGUAAAGGGUGCGUAGGUGGUUUGUCAAGUCAGUAGCGUAACUCCAAGGCUCAACCUUGGAACUACUACUAAAACUGUUGGACUUGAGUGCAGGAGGGGCAACCGGAAUUCCUGGUGUAGCAGUGGAAUGCGUAGAUAUUGGGAGGAACACCAGUGGCGAAGGCGGGUUGCUAGACUGUAACUGACACUGAGGCACGAAGGCGUGGGGAGCAAAAGGGAUUAGAUACCCUUGUAGUA
rnacentral:rRNA from 1 species